CUUUUUUUUUCGUUAAGAUAUGAGAAAGAAGCAGGGCGAGGUGGCACACGCCUUUAAUCUCAGGACUCGGGAGGCAGAGGCAGGCAGAUUUCUGAGUUCGAGGCCAGCCUGGUCUACAAAGUGAGUUCCAGGAUAGCCAGGGCUACACAGAGAAACCCUGUCUUGAACUCCCUCCCCCCCAAAAAGAAAGGUAUGAGAAAGAAAAGGAAAGAAAACAAAACCUUAAUUGCUUUUUUAUUUGUUUUUAUUAUUUGGAUAGUAGGCAGUGGCUUUGAACCCAUGAUCCUCAAGCUUUCAAGUUGUAAGUGCUGGCAUUAAAAACGGGCAACACCACUUCCUAUUUGGCAUAUUUUUGGUCUUUGAAACAGGAUCUCUCUUUGUAGCACUACCUCUCCUGGAACUCACUCUGUAGACCAGGCUGUCCGAAAACUCUUAGAGAUCCACUUGUCUCUGCCUCCCAAGUGCUGGGAAUAAAGCUGUCGGCAGUAUGCCCAGCCUUUCCUUUUCUUUUCAAAAAGCCCUGAUUGCCUGUAUUGCCUCGACUGGCCUCGAACUCCUGCUUACCAGCCUUCCUCCUAAAUCAGGCCCCAGGGUGGCGGAGACUGCAGGCUGCCCCACUGUUGUCCCUGCACUUUUAGAGUUAACAAUAAAUCUUGAAUGUCAUUUUUUUUUCAAAAAAAAGAUUUAUUUAUUUUAUGUAUAUGAGUAUACUGCAACUGUACAGAUGGUUGUGAGCCACCAUGUGGUUGCUGGGAUUUGAACUCAGGACCUUUGAAAGAGCAGUCAGUGCUCUUAAUCGCUGAGCCAUCUCUCCAGCCCUUGAAUGUCAUUUCAUAGCAUCCAUCAUUCCUGUCUGUGCCUUUACAUGCUUCUGUUAAAAGGUAUAUUAUAUAUCUUGUCUUUUCCCUAGUAAUAUUUUCCUUCUUUAAACUGGGUCUGGUGUAACCCAGUCUGACCUGUGGCCUUGAACUUUUGACAGUCUUGCCUCACUCUCUCCAGAGCCUCAACCUGCAGUUUCCUUUGAAACCACUUCUGGCAUUAGUCCUUCUCUGUAGGGCAGUGUGUGGCACCAAAAACUUGAUUGCCAUGGUCACCAGGGCCCAAUUCCUAGGCUGUGGCGUGGGAGUUUCAUGCCCUGCACCGCCGACCUGACCCGCUCCACACCCCGAAGAGCCCCAGCUCGUCUCCUCCCUCAGUCUUUCACUCAGUGACCACAAUUCCGUUGCCCUUUUGUUCAUUCAAAUAAGCCAUAUUUUUAAGCCCUGGCCAUCCGCCAGCCACUGAUCUCGGUCCGGAUGUUGUAGAGAGAACCCACACAAUGGUCCGCUGCUGCAGAGGAGCUAGAGUUUGAGUUGCUUGUGUUUUUUGUAAACCACCCCACCAACCAUGGAGCAAGGCACAGAAUUAGUAAAGGGACCGGACUCUCUCUCUCUUUCUUUCUUUCUUUCUUUCUUUCUUUCUUUCUUUCUUUCUUUCUUUCUUUCUUUCUUUCUUUCUUUUUUUCCUUUCAUCACAUAAACCAUAAACCAAAACUUCGUGCUAACAAAUUGUUGAGCUGAAUACCACAAAAGAGCACUGGACUGAAUUCUGAAACCCUAGGUUCCACAGUCCACUGGCCUGGCCCCUCUCCAGCUUCCCAUGCAGUUAAUAUCUAAGCCCUCAGGCUGUGGUUUGGCUGUUUCUGUCUCUGAGCCUAAGCUGUCCAGCUUCUCAGCGCCUAGGACCUCCUCACACUGACCAGCGUUGCUGCCUCCUGCUGCCAGCCUGUACCUCCUCCUUUCCAGAAGGCCACAUAAUAACCGUUCACCCAGCUGAUGUGUCACUGUGUGUCAUUUCCAGGAUUCCAUUCCCAACACCCACAUGGUGGCUCACAAUUCAAUGGUCCUGGGGAUCAGAGGUUCUCUUCUGAUUCUCUCUCUCUCUCUCUCUCUCUCUCUCUCUCUCUCUCUCACACACACACACACACACACACACACACAGAUGCAGGCAAAACACUUCAUAUACAUAGAAAUGUAAAACAAGUUACUUACUGAUAUUAUGAAGAUCAUUGCUAAUCAAUUCUUACCUCUCCUGUCAAUUCCCUGAAAUACUUUGUUUCUAGAAAGGCACACUGUUGUCUUACAUGUGUUAUGAGACUGGGUUUCUCUGUGUAGCCCUGUCUGUCCUGCAGCUUGCUUUGUAGACCAGGCUGGCCUCAAAUUCGAAUUCAGAGAGAUCCUCCUGCCUCUGCAUUCUAAUUGUUUGGAUGAAAGGUGUGUGCCAUCAACGCCCAGCCCAAAAUGCCUUAUUUUUUUUCUCCUCAUUUUUUUUUUGGGUGGGGGAGGGAGUGUGUUCUGUAUAGCCUUGACUAUCUUGUACUCUCUUGGUAGACCAGGUUUGUCUUAACUCUCAGAAAUUUGACAGUCUCUGCCCCUCCCAACUGCUGGGAUUAAAAGUGUGCAGCAAGAAAAUUUUUCUAUUUUGUUUUUUUGAGACAGGAUUAUUCUGUUCAGUCCUGGUUGUCCAGAAACUUGCUCUGUAGACUGGGCUGGCCUCAAACUCUGAGAUCCGUUUGCCUCUGCCUCCCAAGUGCUAGGAUUAAAGACGUGUGUCACCAUCAUUGUUAGGCACCCCCCUUUUUCUUUUUAGAAAGAGUCUCAAACAAACAAAAAGUCUUUUGUACCUCAGGCUAGACUUGAAUUCACUAUGUAGCUGAUCUGUGUUUUUUGUUUUUUGUUUCUUUUUGGUUUUUCGAGACAGAGUUUUUCUGUGUAGCCCUGGCUGUCCUGGAACUCACUCUGUAGACCAAGCUGGCCUCGAAUUCAGAAAUUCGCCUGCCUCUGCCUCCCAAAUGCUGGGAUUAAAGGCGUGCGCCAGCACUGCCCGGCCACAGGAUCUCAUUUGGUAACUCAGGCUGGUCUUGAACUUGCAGUGAUUGUCCAGCCUCACCCUCUCUUGCGCUGGUAUUACAAGCGUGAGUCUGUUUCAGCUGUUUAAGCUUUGUGUGCUGAGCUUUGGUGAGCAUAUCCAUCAAAUGCACCACUUAAAAUGACAUCAUCCAGGAAGGCCCGGCGACCCUUUUCUGCCCACUCUCUUGGGUACUUUGUCUGGAGUAAAGACUAUUUUGAACGUGUUAAAUUUGUAUUUUCAAAGGGUCUAUCUGGCUGUUGUGCAAAAGAAAGACAAUCAGGCUUGAAGUGCAGACUUGUCGCCUAGCAACCAGACUCUCUCAGGGGCCCGGGGUUGGCUUGCUUCAGGAUGGGGCCCCGCCCUUUCGGCACUCUACCCCGCCCCUCUUCUCUCACUUGCGGGAGAGUGCUGGCGGCCCCGCCCACCUUCCGGCCCCGCCCCUCACGGGAGCCUCGCGAAGCUCUGCGACCCGCAGGGGCGGGCAGAUGCUUCUUAUUGGUCAGUUUUCCGGAAGCUGAGUUGAUUUGGUUUGGCAAGCGCAGCGUUGCUGGACGCGCGUGGCUCCCGCGCGUGGUGCGGACGGAACGAGGCCAGGGUGGCAUCCGGGGACGGGGAGCCGGCGCUCCUCCAAGGCUGGCGGGAGCGGGCCUCAGUUUCCUCCGGGAGACGAGCGUAGCUUCCAGAAUUGGAGCCCAGGCCCUCCCGCGCAGCUCGGCUGCAGGUUUGGCUUGUCAGAGGCUGAGAAGGGACGGAGGAGGCUCGGGUCCCCCCCACCCCAUCACAGCUCGCAGGCCCCCGUGCUUGGCAGCCUCUCCGGUCUCCAGAGCCCUAGCGCAGGAUGUUCGUGCUGGUGGAGAUGGUGGACACCGUGCGCAUACCCCCGUGGCAGUUUGAGCGGAAACUCAACGAUUCCAUUGCUGAGGAGCUGAACAAGAAAUUGGCCAACAAGGUCGUAUACAACGUGGGACUCUGCAUCUGUCUGUUUGAUAUCACCAAGCUGGAGGACGCCUAUGUGUUCCCAGGGGAUGGAGCAUCCCACACCAAAGUCCAUUUCCGCUACGUGGUGUUUCACCCCUUCCUGGAUGAGAUCCUCAUUGGGAAGAUCAAAGGCUGCAGCCCAGAGGGUGUGCACGUCUCUUUAGGGUUCUUUGAUGACAUUCUCAUCCCCCCUGAGUCACUGCAGCAGCCUGCCAAGUUGUAUCCUCUCAAGUAUGAUUUGAGGCAAGUGGACAGCCUGUGGUGACCCUGGCAGCUCUGUGAUCUGCCACUGCUGGUGGUGCUGGUGUGAAACCCCAGGCCACCUCUGCUUCCAGUUCUGACCAUGUGAUGAAGCGGAGCAAGUGUGGGUGUGGGAGUACGAGACGGAGGAAGGAGCGCAUGACCUGUACAUGGACACUGGGGAGGAGAUCCGCUUCAGGGUGGUGGAUGAGAGCUUUGUGGACACAUCCCCCACAGGACCCAGUUCCGCCGAGGCUGCCUCUUCAAGCGAGGAGCUGCCCAAGAAGGAAGCACCAUAUACACUUGUGGGAUCUAUCAGUGAGCCAGGACUAGGCCUUCUCUCCUGGUGGACGAGCAACUAGCCCUGGAGCUCACAGUGACUGCCCAGCCUGAAGACCCUGUCCAGACUUGGGAAAGUAGAGAGCAGUUUGAGUGUUCUCCAGAGCCAAGCUUGGUGGGACCAGGAGCAGUGACAAGUGCUUGUCCUCUCCCUCCCCAGCACUGCUUCUCUGGUCUGGAGCCACCCUGAAUCGUCUCCAGAGUGUCAUGGAUCCAGGCUGGCUUCUCACUUGCUGUAUAGCAUAGAGUAGCCUGGAGUUUCUGAUCCUCCAGCUGGGAUUCCAGGUGUGCAGUGCCACCUUGAGCCUAUGUGGAAGGUAGGGAUGGGUCCCAGGACUCGUGCACACCAGGGAGGCAUUCUCCCAGGGGAGCUGCUUCCCCAUCACAAGGACUGUUUGGUGGUUUUUGUAAUUUCUUCAGGGCUGAGGAUGGAACCCAGGGCCUCUUUCAUGUUAGGUGGGUGUUGUACUACUGAGCUAGGCCCAGUCUAUCCUAUGAACUUCUGGCUUUCAGUGACGCAGAAUACAUUUAAUAAAUACUGGUGGCAGAGCAGGAA